rnacentral:rRNA from 1 species
GGUCAAGCGAACAAGUGCAUGUGGUGGAUGCCUUGGCGAUCACAGGCGAUGAAGGACGCGGUAGCCUGCGAAAAGCCCCGGGGAGCUGGCAAACAAGCUUUGAUCCGGGGAUGUCCGAAUGGGGAAACCCACUCCUUAUGGAGUAUCCAUGACUGAAUACAUAGGUCAUGUGAAGCGAACGCGGUGAACUGAAACAUCUAAGUAACCGCAGGAAAAGAAAUCAACCGAGAUUCCCAAAGUAGUGGCGAGCGAAAUGGGAUGAGCCUUGUACUCUUUAUUUGUAUUGUUAGCCGA